rnacentral:rRNA from 1 species
CAGUCGCCGCGGUAAUACGGAGGGGGCUAGCGUUGUUCGGAAUUACUGGGCGUAAAGCGCACGUAGGCGGCUUGGUAAGUUAGAGGUGAAAGCCCAGGGCUCAACCCUGGAAUUGCCUUUAAGACUGCCGAGCUAGUAGGUGAGAGAGGUAAGUGGAAUUCCGAGUGUAGAGGUGAAAUUCGUAGAUAUUCGGAAGAACACCAGUGGCGAAGGCGGCUUACUGGCUCAUUCUAGACGCUGAGGUGCGAAAGCGUGGGGAACAAACAGGAUUAGAUACCCCAGUAGUCCCUGUCUCUUAUCC